rnacentral:rRNA from 4 species
AAAACGACUCUCGGCAACGGAUAUCUCGGCUCUCGCAUCGAUGAAGAACGUAGCGAAAUGCGAUACUUGGUGUGAAUUGCAGAAUCCCGUGAACCAUCGAGUCUUUGAACGCAAGUUGCGCCCCAAGCCUUCGGGCCGAGGGCACGUCUGCCUGGG